rnacentral:rRNA from 1 species
GAUGAACGCUGGCGGCGUGCCUAAUACAUGCAAGUCGAGCGAACGGACGAGAAGCUUGCUUCUCUGAUGUUAGCGGCGGACGGGUGAGUAACACGUGGAUAACCUACCUAUAAGACUGGGAUAACUUCGGGAAACCGUAGCUAAUACCGGAUAAUAUUUUGAACCGCAUGGUUCAAAAGUGAAAGACGGUCUUGCUGUCACUUAUAGAUGGAUCCGCGCUGCAUUAGCUAGUUGGUAAGGUAACGGCUUACCAAGGCAACGAUGCAUAGCCGACCUGAGAGGGUGAUCGGCCACACUGGAACUGAGACACGGUCCAGACUCCUACGGGAGGCAGCAGCAGGGAAUCUUCCGCAACGGGCGAAAGCCUGACGGAGCAACGCCGCGUGAGUGAUGAAGGUCUUCGGAUCGUAAAACUCUGUUAUUAGGGAAGAACAUAUGUGUAAGUAACUGUGCACAUCUUGACGGUACCUAAUCAGAAAGCCACGGCUAACUACGUG